rnacentral:misc_RNA from 1 species
ACAAACUUGGUCAUUUAGAGGAAGUAAAAGUCGUAACAAGGUAACCGUAGGUGAACCUGCGGUUGGAUCAUCAAAGUGAUUUGCUUCGUGGCGCUGGGGGCGUCGGUGCAUGCCGGCGCCCUCGGCGGGACGCACACACCCUGCGAACAGCCCGUCCGUUGGCGGCCCCCUGGGCAUCAAAACACCCCGCCGUGGCCCGGGCGGGGGCGGUUCGGCGCAGCGAUGCGCUUUGCCGCGGCCGCCAGCCGUUUUUGCGUGAACACCAUGUCUCGUGGCAACGCUCGUCUUUGCAGAAACAAAGAAACGAUGAACAACUUCAGACAACGGAUCUCUUGGCUCUCGCAUCGAUGAAGAACGCAGC